rnacentral:rRNA from 1 species
CCUACGGGUGGCAGCAGUGGGGAAUUUUCCGCAAUGGGCGAAAGCCUGACGGAGCAAUACCGCGUGAGGGAGGAAGGCUCUUGGGUUGUAAACCUCUUUUCUCAGGGAAGAACAAAAUGACGGUACCUGAGGAAUCAGCAUCGGCUAACUCCGUGCCAGCAGCCGCGGUAAUACGGAGGAUGCAAGCGUUAUCCGGAAUGAUUGGGCGUAAAGCGUCCGCAGGUGGCUAUGCAAGUCUGCUGUCAAAGCCUGGGGCUUAACCCUAGAGAGGCAGUGGAAACUGAAUGGCUAGAGUACGGUAGGGGUAGAGGGAAUUCCCGGUGUAGCGGUGAAAUGCGUAGAGAUCGGGAAGAACACCAGUGGCGAAAGCGCUCUGCUAGGCCUGUACUGACACUGAGGGACGAAAGCUAGGGGAGCGAAUGGGAUUAGAUA